UACGUAGGUGGCAAGCGUUGUCCGGAAUUAUUGGGCGUAAAGCGUGCGUAGGCGGCAACGUAAGUCGGGUGUGAAAGCCCUCGGCUCAACCGAGGAAGUGCAUUCGAAACUGCGUAGCUAGAGUACUGGAGAGGGUGACGGAAUUCCUGGUGUAGAGGUGAAAUUCGUAGAUAUCAGGAGGAACACCUGUAGCGAAGGCGGUCACCUGGACAGAUACUGACGCUGAGGCACGAAAGCGUGGGGAGCAAACAGG
rnacentral:misc_RNA from 1 species